AGUGAACGCUGGCGGUAGGCCUAACACAUGCAAGUCGAACGGCAGCACAGGAGAGCUUGCUCUCUAGGUGGCGAGUGGCGGACGGGUGAGGAAUACAUCGGAAUCUGCCCAGUCGUGGGGGAUAACGUAGGGAAACUUACGCUAAUACCGCAUACGACCUUCGGGUGAAAGAGGGGGAUCGCAAGACCUCUCGCGAUUGGAUGAGCCGAUGUUGGAUUAGCUAGUUAGCGGGGUAAUGGCCCACCAAGGCGACGAUCCGUAGCUGGUCUGAGAGGAUGAUCAGCCACACUGGAACUGAGACACGGUCCAGACUCCUACGGGAGGCAGCAGUGGGGAAUAUUGGACAAUGGGCGCAAGCCUGAUCCAGCCAUACCGCGUGGGUGAAGAAGGCCUUCGGGUUGUAAAGCCCUUUUGUUGGGAAAGAAAUCUUUCAGGCUAAUACCCUGGGAGGAUGACGGUACCCAAAGAAUAAGCACCGGCUAACUUCGUG
rnacentral:rRNA from 1 species